GAGUUUGAUCAUGGCUCAGAUUGAACGCUGGCGGCAGGCCUAACACAUGCAAGUCGAACGGUAACAGGAAGCAGCUUGCUGCUUCGCUGACGAGUGGCGGACGGGUGAGUAAUGUCUGGGAAGCUGCCUGAUGGAGGGGGAUAACUACUGGAAACGGUAGCUAAUACCGCAUAAUGUCGCAAGACCAAAGAGGGGGACCUUCGGGCCUCUUGCCAUCGGAUGUGCCCAGAUGGGAUUAGCUUGUUGGUGGGGUAACGGCUCACCAAGGCGACGAUCCCUAGCUGGUCUGAGAGGAUGACCAGCCACACUGGAACUGAGACACGGUCCAGACUCCUACGGGAGGCAGCAGUGGGGAAUAUUGCACAAUGGGCGCAAGCCUGAUGCAGCCAUGCCGCGUGUAUGAAGAAGGCCUUCGGGUUGUAAAGUACUUUCAGCGGGGAGGAAGGGAGUAAAGUUAAUACCUUUGCUCAUUGACGUUACCCGCAGAAGAAGCACCGGCUAACUCCGUGCCAGCAGCCGCGGUAAUACGGAGGGUGCAAGCGUUAAUCGGAAUUACUGGGCGUAAAGCGCACGCAGGCGGUUUGUUAAGUCAGAUGUGAAAUCCCCGGGCUCAACCUGGGAACUGCAUCUGAUACUGGCAAGCAUGAGUCUCGUAGAGGGGGGUAGAAUUCCAGGUGUAGCAGUGAAAUGCGUAGAGAUCUGGAGGAAUACCGGUGGCGAAGGCGGCCCCCUGGACGAAGACUGACGCUCAGGUGCGAAAGCGUGGGGAGCAAACAGGAUUAGAUACCCUGGUAGUCCACGCCGUAAACGAUGUCGACUUGGAGGUUGUGCCCUUGAGGCGUGGCUUCCGGAGCUAACGCGUUAAGUCGACCGCCUGGGGAGUACGGCCGCAAGGUUAAAACUCAAAUGAAUUGACGGGGGCCCGCACAAGCGGUGGAGCAUGUGGUUUAAUUCGAUGCAACGCGAAGAACCUUACCUGGUCUUGACAUCCACGGAAGUUUUCAGAGAUGAGAAUGUGCCUUCGGGAACCGUGAGACAGGUGCUGCAUGGCUGUCGUCAGCUCGUGUUGUGAAAUGUUGGGUUAAGUCCCGCAACGAGCGCAACCCUUGUCCUUUGUUGCCAGCGGUCCGGCCGGGAACUCAAAGGAGACUGCCAGUGAUAAACUGGAGGAAGGUGGGGAUGACGUCAAGUCAUCAUGGCCCUUACGACCAGGGCUACACACGUGCUACAAUGGCGCAUACAAAGAGAAGCGACCUCGCGAGAGCAAGCGGACCUCAUAAAGUGCGUCGUAGUCCGGAUUGGAGUCUGCAACUCGACUCCAUGAAGUCGGAAUCGCUAGUAAUCGUGGAUCAGAAUGCCACGGUGAAUACGUUCCCGGGCCUUGUACACACCGCCCGUCACACCAUGGGAGUGGGUUGCAAAAGAAGUAGGUAGCUUAACCUUCGGGAGGGCGCUUACCACUUUGUGAUUCAUGACUGGGGUGAAGUCGUAACAAGGUA
rnacentral:rRNA from 1 species